GUCGAGACGUGGGUGAGAAUCCCACGGGCCGUAAACCCAAGGUUUCCAGGGAAAGGUUCGUCCGCCCUGGGUUAGUCGGGACCUAAGCCGAGGCCGAAAGGCGUAGGUGAUGGACAACAGGUUGAUAUUCCUGUACCGCCAAUAAGCGUUUGAGAGAUGGAGUGACACAGUAGGAUAAGCUAACCGUACUGUUGGUUAUGUACGGCUAAGCAUUGAGGCAGUCUAAAUAGGCAAAUCCGUUUAGACAAUGCUAGGAUGUGAUGGGGAAGCCCUUCGGGGCGAAGUAGCUGAUUUCACACUGUCAAGAAAAGCUUCUAUCGAGUUUAAAGGCGCCCGUACCGUAAACCGACACAGGUGGGUGAGGAGAGUAUCCUAAGGCCAGCGAGAGAACUAUUGUUAAGGAACUCGGCAAAAUGACCCCGUAACUUAGGGAGAAGGGGUGCCUGUCUAUGACAGGCCGCAGAGAAUAGGCCCAAGCGACUGUUACCAAAAACACAGGUUUCUGCUAAGUCGCAAGACGAUGUAUAGGAGCUGACGCCUGCCCGGUGCUGGAAGGUUAAGGGGAUCUGUUAGAGCAAUCGAAGCAGUGAACUUAAGCCCCAGUAAACGGCGGCCGUAACGAUAACGGUCCUAAGGUAGCGAAAUUCCUUGUCGGGUAAGUUCCGACCCGCACGAAAGGCGUAACGAUUUGGGCACUGUCUCAACAAUAGACUCGGUGAAAUUGUAAUCCUGGUGAAGAUGCCGGGUACCUGCGACAGGACGGAAAGACCCCAUGGAGCUUUACUGUAGCUUGACGUUGGGUCUUGGUACUACAUGUACAGGAUAGGUGGGAGACUAUGAAGCAUGGACGCCAGUCUGUGUGGAGUCAUCCUUGGGAUACCACCCUUGUAGUACUGGGAUCCUAACCAUAGGCCUUGAAUCAGGUCUUGGAACACCGUCAGGUGUGCAGUUUGACUGGGGCGGUCGCCUCCUAAAAAGUAACGGAGGCGCUCAAAGGUUUCCUCAGCACGGUCGGAAAUCGUGCGAAGAGUGUAAAGGCAAAAGGAAGCUUGAUUGCAAGACAUACAGGUCGAGCAAGGACGAAAGUCGGACUUAGUGAUCCGGUGGUACCGCAUGGAAGGGCCAUCGCUCAACGGAUAAAAGCUACCCUGGGGAUAACAGGCUUAUCUCCCCCAAGAGUCCACAUCGACGGGGAGGUUUGGCACCUCGAUGUCGGCUCAUCACAUCCUGGGGCUGUAGUAGGUCCCAAGGGUUGGGCUGUUCGCCCAUUAAAGUGGUACGCGAGCUGGGUUCAGAACGUCGUGAGACAGUUCGGUCCCUAUCCGUCGCAGGCGUAGGAAAUUUGAGAAGACCUGUCCUUAGUACGAGAGGACCGGGAUGGACGUACCUCUGGUGUACCAGUUGUUCUGCCAAGGGCAUGGCUGGGUAGCUAUGUACGGAAUGGAUAAGCGCUGAAAGCAUCUAAGCGCGAAGCCAACUUCAAGAUAAGAUUUCCCACCGUAAGGGUAAGACCCCAGGAAGACUACCUGGUUGAUAGGUCGAAGGUGUAAGUGCAGUAAUGUAUUUAGCUUAUCGAUACUAAUAGGUCGAGGACUUGACC
rnacentral:rRNA from 1 species